AGCGGAACGAUGAUAGCUUGCUAUCAGGCGUCGAGCGGCGGACGGGUGAGUAAUACUUAGGAAUCUACCUAGUAGUGGGGGAUAGCUCGGGGAAACUCGAAUUAAUACCGCAUACGACCUACGGGAGAAAGGGGGCAACUUGUUGCUCUCGCUAUUAGAUGAGCCUAAGUCGGAUUAGCUAGAUGGUGGGGUAAAGGCCUACCAUGGCGACGAUCUGUAGCUGGUCUGAGAGGAUGAUCAGCCACACCGGGACUGAGACACGGCCCGGACUCCUACGGGAGGCAGCAGUGGGGAAUAUUGGACAAUGGGGGCAACCCUGAUCCAGCCAUGCCGCGUGUGUGAAGAAGGCCUUUUGGUUGUAAAGCACUUUAAGCAGUGAAGAAGACUCCGUGGUUAAUACCCACGGACGAUGACAUUAGCUGCAGAAUAAGCACCGGCUAACUCUGUGCCAGCAGCCGCGGUAAUACAGAGGGUGCAAGCGUUAAUCGGAAUUACUGGGCGUAAAGCGAGCGUAGGUGGCUUGAUAAGUCAGAUGUGAAAUCCCCGGGCUUAACCUGGGAACUGCAUCUGAUACUGUUAGGCUAGAAUAGGUGAGAGGAAGGUAGAAUUCCAGGUGUAGCGGUGAAAUGCGUAGAGAUCUGGAGGAAUACCGAUGGCGAAAGCAGCCUUCUGGCAUCAUAUUGACACUGAGGUUCGAAAGCGUGGGUAGCAAACAGGAUUAAA
rnacentral:rRNA from 1 species